rnacentral:rRNA from 1 species
CCUACGGGCGGCAGCAGUGGGGAAUAUUGGACAAUGGGCGAAAGCCUGAUCCAGCCAUGCCGCGUGUGUGAAGAAGGCCUUCGGGUUGUAAAGCACUUUCAGUGGGGAAGAAAGCCUUGGGGCUAAUACCCUCGAGGAAGGACAUCACCCACAGAAGAAGCACCGGCUAACUCCGUGCCAGCAGCCGCGGUAAUACGGAGGGUGCGAGCGUUAAUCGGAAUUACUGGGCGGAAAGCGCGCGUAGGCGGUCUGAUAAGCCGGUUGUGAAAGCCCCGGGCUCAACCUGGGAACGGCAUCCGGAACUGUCAGGCUAGAGUGCAGGAGAGGAAGGUAGAAUUCCCGGUGUAGCGGUGAAAUGCGUAGAGAUCGGGAGGAAUACCAGUGGCGAAGGCGGCCUUCUGGACUGACACUGACGCUGAGGUGCGAAAGCGUGGGUAGCAAACAGGAUUAGAUACCCUUGUAGUC